CUCAUCUGUAAAAUUUGAAGGAAACAUUUGUU
rnacentral:piRNA from 1 species